CACAACCCGACCUUAAGGACAAUCUAUUACAAUAUUCUAGGACUCUAGCCCAGAACCAAAGGUUGCCAUGCCACUAGUUCGGUGAAGCUGUCAACGGAGGAUUCACUCAGAUGGAACAUGGAGAAGCCUACACAUCAGUGCGACAAGACAUUCAGUUUAAAGUCAGACCUGGCGAGGCGUCUGAAGAUCCAUGCCAUCGCCAGGGAGACCUUUACCUGUGAUGUCUGCGGGAAGAGCUUGGCCACUAAACCAUCGCUGGUCAGCCAUCAACAGCUACACCAGUACCCCAACAUCAUUUUGUACCGGCAAGGAGAGGCCAGGCUGUACUGUACAGAGGCAGCAAGGUCUGUGGCAGAGGCCCGCAAUGGCUGGAUCUCAAGACAGCAGAGACCUUUGGAAAGGUCAGCUGGUCAUCACGUUCGGGUAGUACGCCGGUCAGACCUUCAGGUGGCUUGUGGAGAAUGAUGUCGGCUGGCUGGUGUGGCUGCUGUUCCAGUACUGCCAGCAGGGAGAGCAGAACGAGCUGCAGAAG
ensembl:lncRNA